GAUGAACGCUGGCGGCGUGCCUAACACAUGCAAGUCGAGCGAUCUUCUUCGGAAGAGAGCGGCGGACGGGUGAGUAACGCGUGGGUAACCUGCCCUGUACACACGGAUAACAUACCGAAAGGUAUGCUAAUACGAGAUAAUAUACUUUUAUCGCAUGGUAGAAGUAUCAAAGCUCUGGCGGUACAGGAUGGACCCGCGUCUGAUUAGCUAGUUGGUAAGGUAACGGCUUUACCAAGGCGACGAUCAGUAGCCGACCUGGAGAGGGUGAUCGGCCACAUUGGAACUGAGACACGGGUCCAAACUCCUACGGGAGGGCAGCAUGGGGGAAUAAUUUGCGACAAUGGGCGAAAGCCUGAUGCAGCAACGCCGCGUGAGCGAUG
rnacentral:rRNA from 1 species